GACGAACGCUGGCGGCGUGCUUAACACAUGCAAGUCGAACGAAGAGCGAUGGACGCUUGCUUCUAUCAAUCUUAGUGGCGAACGGGUGAGUAACGCGUAAUCAACCUGCCCUUCAGAGGGGGACAACAGUUGGAAACGACUGCUAAUACCGCAUACGAUCUGACCUCGGCAUCGAGGAUAGAUGAAAGGUGGCCUCUACAUGUAAGCUAUCACUGAAGGAGGGGAUUGCGUCUGAUUAGCUAGUUGGAGGGGUAACGGCCCACCAAGGCGAUGAUCAGUAGCCGGUCUGAGAGGAUGAACGGCCACAUUGGGACUGAGACACGGCCCAGACUCCUACGGGAGGCAGCAGUGGGGAAUCUUCCGCAAUGGACGAAAGUCUGACGGAGCAACGCCGCGUGAGUGAUGACGGCCUUCGGGUUGUAAAGCUCUGUUAAUCGGGACGAAAGGCCUUUUUGCGAAUAGUGAGAAGGAUUGACGGUACCGGAAUAGAAAGCCACGGCUAACUACGUG
rnacentral:rRNA from 1 species